GGAUUAAUACCGCAUACGAUCCAUGGAUGAAAGCGGGGGACCUUCGGGCCUCGCGCUAUAGGGUUGGCCGAUGGCUGAUUAGCUAGUUGGUGGGUAAAGGCCUACCAAGGCGACGAUCAGUAGCUGGUCUGAGAGGACGACCAGCCACACUGGGACUGAGACACGGCCCAGACUCCUACGGGAGGCAGCAGUGGGGAAUUUUGGACAAUGGGCGAAAGCCUGAUCCAGCAAUGCCGCGUGUGUGAAGAAGGCCUUCGGGUUGUAAAGCACUUUUGUCCGGAAAGAAAUCCUUGGUCCUAAUAUGGCCGGGGGAUGACGGUACCGGAAGAAUAAGCACCGGCUAACUACGUGCC
rnacentral:rRNA from 1 species